AAGCCCUGAUGCAGCGACGCCGCGUUGAGGGAUGACGGCCUUCGGGUUUGUAAACCUCUUUCAGCAGGGAAGAAGCGAAAGUGACGGUACCUGCAGAAGAAGCGCCGGCUAACUACGUGCCAGCAGCCGCGGUAAUACGUAGGGCGCAAGCGUUGUCCGGAAUUAUUGGGCGUAAAGAGCUCGUAGGCGGCUUGUCACGUCGGUUGUGAAAGCCCGGGGCUUAACCCCGGGUCUGCAGUCGAUACGGGCAGGCUAGAGUUCGGUAGGGGAGAUCGGAAUUCCUGGUGUAGCGGUGAAAUGCGCAGAUAUCAGGAGGAACACCGGUGGCGAAGGCGGAUCUCUGGGCCGAUACUGACGCUGAGGAGCGAAAGCGUGGGGAGCGAACAGGAUUAGAUACCCUGGUAGUCCACGCCGUAAACGGUGGGCACUAGGUGUGGGCAACAUUCCACGUUGUCCGUGCCGCAGCUAACGCAUUAAGUGCCCCGCCUGGGGAGUACGGCCGCAAGGC
rnacentral:rRNA from 1 species